GUGGGGAAUAUUGGACAAUGGGGGGAACCCUGAUCCAGCGAUGCCGUGUGUGUGAAGAAGGUCUAAGGAUUGUAAAGCACUUUAGUUGGGGAAGAAGGGCUAUUAUUGAAAAGAUAGUAGAGAGGACGGUACCCAAAGAAUAAGCACCGGCAAACUCUGUGCCAGCAGCCGCGGUAAGACAGAGGGUGCAAGCGUUAAUCGGAAUGACUGGGCGUAAAGGGCGAGUAGGCGGUAGUUCAAGUUGGAUGUGAAAUACAUAGGCUUAACCUGUGGAUGAAAUCCAAGACUAGAGUACUAUGAGUACAGUAGAGGAGAGCGGAAUUUCCAGUGUAGCGGUAGAAUGCGUAGAGAUUGGAAAGAACACCAGUGGCGAAGGCGGCUCUCUGGACUGAAACUGACGCUGAGGAGCGAGAGCAUGGGGAGCAAACAGGAUUAGAUACCCUAGUAGUCC
rnacentral:rRNA from 1 species